GAUCAACCCCAACACCCUCUAGGAUCAACCCCAACACCCUCUAGGAUCAACCCCAACACCCUCUAGGAUCAACCCCAACACCCUCUAGGAUCAACCCAACACCCUCUAGGAUCAACCCCAAUACCCUCUAGGAUCAACCCAACACCCUCUAGGAUCAACCCCAAUACCCUCUAGUGUCCUCUGUCAUGGAUCAACCCCAAUUCCCCCUAGGAUCAACCCCAACACCCUCUAGGAUCAACCCCAACACCCUCUAGGAUCAACCCCAACACCCUCUAGGAUCAACCCCAACACCCUCUAGGAUCAACCCCAACACCCUCUAGGAUCAACCCCAAUACCCUCUAGGAUCAACCCAACACCCUCUAGGAUCAACCCCAAUACCCUCUAGUGUCCUCUGUCAUGGAUCAACCCCAAUACCCUCUAGGAUCAACCCCAAUUGCCCCUAGGAUCAACCCCAACACCCUCUAGGAUCAACCCCAAUACCCCCUAGUGUCCUCUGUCAUGGAUCAACCCCAAUACCCUCUAGUGUCCUCUGUCAUGGAUCAACCCCAAUACCCCCUAGUGUCCUCUGUCAUGGAUCAACCCCAAUACCCUCUAGGAUCAUACCCAAUACGCCCUAGUGUCCUCUGUCAUGGAUCAACCCCAACACCCUCUAGGAUCAACCCCAAUACCCCCUAGUGUCCUCUGUCAUGGAUCAACCCCAACACCCUCUAGGAUCAACCCCAAUACCCCCCAGUGUCUUCUGUCAUGGAUCAACCCCAAUUCCCCCUAUGAUCAACAUCAACACCCUCUAGGAUCAACCCCAACACCCUCUAGGAUCAACCCAACACCCUCUAGGAUCAACCCCAAUUCCCCUUAGGAUCAACCUCAAUUCUCCUUAGGAUCAACCCCAACACCCUCUAGGAUCAACCCCAACACCCUCUAGGAUCAACCCCAACACCCUCUAGGAUCAACCCCAACACCCUCUAGGAUCAACCCAACACCCUCUAGGAUCAACCCCAAUACCCUCUAGGAUCAACCCAACACCCUCUAGGAUCAACCCCAAUACCCUCUAGUGUCCUCUGUCAUGGAUCAACCCCAAUACCCUCUAGGAUCAACCCCAAUUGCCCCUAGGAUCAACCCCAACACCCUCUAGGAUCAACCCCAAUACCCCCUAGUGUCCUCUGUCAUGGAUCAACCCCAAUACCCUCUAGUGUCCUCUGUCAUGGAUCAACCCCAAUACGCCCUAGUGUCCUCUGUCAUGGAUCAACCCCAAUACCCCCUAGUGUCCUCUGUCAUGGAUCAACCCCAAUACCCCCUAGUGUCCUCUGUCAUGGAUCAACCCCAAUACCCUCUAGGAUCAAACCCAAUACGCCCUAGUGUCCUCUGUCAUGGAUCAACCCCAAUAUCCCCUAGUGUCCUCUGUCAUGGAUCAACCCCAACACCCUCUAGGAUCAACCCCAAUACCCCCUAGUGUCCUCUGUCAUGGAUCAACCCCAACACCCUCUAGGAUCAACCCCAAUACCCCCCAGUGUCCUCUGUCAUGGAUCAACCCCAACACCCUAUAGGAUCAACCCCAAUACCCCCCAGUGUCCUCUGUCAUGGAUCAACCCCAAUACCACUUGGAAUGAAAUAUAUGGAACGCAGACCUUGGGAGAUAGAACAAGGAACGCAGACCGUGGGGGAAAGAACAAGGAAUGAAGACCGUGGGGGAAAGCAGAAGGAACAGAGACUGUGGGGGUUAGUAGACUGUGGGGGAUAGGAGACUGUGGCAGAUAGAACAAGGACCGUAGACCAUGGGGGAUACUAGAAGGAACGUAGACCGUGGGAGACAGUAGAAGGAACGUAGACCGUGGGAGAUAGAGCAAGGACCGUAGACCGUGGGGGACAUUAGAAGGAAGGUAGACCGUGGGAGAUAGAGCAAGGACCGUAGACCGUGGGGGACAGUACAAGGAACGUAGAUUGUAGGUGAUAGCAGACUGUGGGGGAUAGCAGACUGUGGGGGAUAGCAGACUGUAGGUGAUAGCAGACUGUGGGGGAUAGCAGACUGUAGGGGAUAGCAGACUGUGGGGGAUAGCAGACUGUAGGUGAUAGCAGACUGUAGGUGAUAGCAGACUGUGGGGGAUAGCAGACUGUGGGGGAUAGCAGACUGUGGGAGAUAGCAGACUGUAGGGGAUAGCAGACUGUAGGGGAUAGCAGACUGUGGGAGAUAGCAGACUGUGGGAGAUAGCAGACUGUUGGUGAUAGCAGACUAUAGGGGAUAGCAGACUGUAGGGGAUAGCAGACUGUGGGGGAUAGCAGACUGUAGGGGAUAGCAGACUGUGGGGGAUAGCAGAAUAUAGGGGAUAGCAGACUGUGGGAGAUAGCAGACUGUUGGUGAUAGCAGACUAUAGGGGAUAGCAGACUGUAGGGGAUAGCAGACUGUGGGGGAUAGCAGACUGUAGGGGAUAGCAGACUGUGGGGGAUAUUAGACUGUGGGUGAUAGCAGACUAUAGGGGAUAGCAGACUGUAGGGGAUAGCAGACUGUGGGGGAUAGCAGACUGUAGGGGAUAGCAGACUGUAGGGGAUAGCAGACUGUAGGGGAUAGCAGACUGUGGGGGAUAUUAGACUGUGGGUGAUAGCAGACUAUAGGGGAUAGCAGACUGUAGGGGAUAGCAGACUGUAGGGGAUAGCAGACUGUGGGGGAUAGCAGACUGUAGGGGAUAGCAGACUGUAGGGGAUAGCAGACUGUAGGGGAUAGCAGACUGUAGGGGAUAUUAGACUGUGGGUGAUAGCAGACUAUAGGGGAUAGCAGACUGUAGGGGAUAGCAGACUGUAGGGGAUAGCAGACUGUAGGGGAUAGCAGACUGUAGGGGAUAUUAGACUGUGGGUGAUAGCAGACUAUAGGGGAUAGCAGACUGUGGGGGAUAGCAGACUGUAGGGGAUAGCAGACUGUAGGGGAUAGCAGACUGUAGGGGAUAGCAGACUGUGGGGGAUAUUAGACUGUGGGUGAUAGCAGACUAUAGGGGAUAGCAGACUGUAGGGGAUAGCAGGCUGUAGGGGAUAGCAGACUGUAGGGGAUAGCAGACUGUAGGGGAUAGCAGACUGUAGGGGAUAGCAGACUGUGGGGGAUAGCAGACUGUAGGGGAUAGCAGACUGUAGGGGAUAGCAGACUGUAGGGGAUAGCAGACUGUAGGGGAUAGCAGACUGUAGGGGAUAGCAGACUGUAGGGGAUAGCAGACUGUAGGGGAUAGCAGACUGUAGGGGAUAGCAGACUGUAGGGGAUAGCAGACUGUAGGGGAUAGCAGACUGUAGGGGAUAGCAGACUGUAGGGGAUAGCAGACUGUGGGGCAUAAGUCACCAUCAUUGGUGCCCAUUCAGCGAUGCUGAUCUAACAUGGUGGAUAUUAAUCAAGGCCCACAAUGUGGUUUCUACAAUCCCAUUGAUGUGUUCUAUCAGGCCCACAAUGUGGUUUCUACAAUCCCAUUGAUGUGUUCUAUCAGGCCCACAAUGUGGUUUCUACAAUCCCAUUGAUGUGUUCUAUCAGGCCCACAAUGUGGUUUCUACAAUACCCAUUGAUGUGUUCUAUCAGGCCCACAAUGUGGUUUCUACAAUCCCAUUGAUGUGUUCUAUCAGGCCCACAAUGUGGUUUCUACAAUCCCAUUGAUGUGUUCUAUCAGGCCCACAAUGUGGUUUCUACAAUACCCAUUGAUGUGUUCUAUCAGGCCCACAAUGUGGUUUCUACAAUACCCAUUGAUGUGUUCUAUCAGGCCCACAAUGUGGUUUCUACAAUCCCAUUGAUGUGUUCUAUCAGGCCCACAAUGUGGUUUCUACAAUCCCAUUGAUGUGUUCUAUCAGGCCCACAAUGUGGUUUUUACAAUCCCAUUGAUGUGUUCUAUCAGGCCCACAAUGUGGUUUCUACAAUCCCAUUGAUGUGUUCUAUCAGGCCCACAAUGUGGUUUCUACAAUCCCAUCGAUGUGUUCUAUCAGGCCCACAAUGUGGUUUUUACAAUCCCAUUUGGAUAUAUUUGUCUGUUUUCGCUGCAUAAUAUUUAGACAUUUCUGAAUAUUUUUAUUGUUGCUUAGUGAUGCUCUAGUUUACAAUAAAAUAUACCUAUUGUUUUUGCAAUAAACAAUAGUGUUGUUUCUUAAACUAGAAUAAAGUCUAAUGAUCUCCAUAGAUCAUAAAUAAAUGAAUAAACAAGGAUUGAGUUCCCGAAUUGAAUGGUUUAUUAACCGGAACUCACACAUGCUACUGUUUGGUCUUAGCCUCCACCAAAUUACUCCCAAUUCAACACUCUGUUAAGAUGUGAAAGAGGCAGAACAAUGCAAACAUGGCAACACAUCAAACCUGUAGUGCCCAGCGCCCUCCCCAGUCAUCCGGCCGUUGCACCAACCCAAGGAUGCCAGGCGCCGAAACAUUUCCUUCCUUUGAUUGGCCGACAGAAUAUCAGAACACAGGCACAUAACUGUCCAAGCGGGUCGCUAGUCGAUACAAUUGUUUUGUGAUCUUUUUAGAUUGGUUCUGUGAAUAAUAAAAGUCAAGUUUUAAGACUAA